ACGGCCCAGACUCCUACGGGAGGCAGCAGUGGGGAAUUUUGGACAAUGGGCGCAAGCCUGAUCCAGCCAUGCCGCGUGCGGGAAGAAGGCCUUCGGGUUGUAAACCGCUUUUGUCAGGGAAGAAAUCCUUUGAGCUAAUACCUCGGGGGGAUGACGGUACCUGAAGAAUAAGCACCGGCUAACUACGUGCCAGCAGCCGCGGUAAUACGUAGGGUGCGAGCGUUAAUCGGAAUUACUGGGCGUAAAGCGUGCGCAGGCGGUCUUGCAAGACAGGUGUGAAAUCCCCGGGCUUAACCUGGGAACUGCACUUGUGACUGCAAGGCUGGAGUACGGCAGAGGGGGAUGGAAUUCCGCGUGUAGCAGUGAAAUGCGUAGAUAUGCGGAGGAACACCGAUGGCGAAGGCAAUCCCCUGGGCCUGUACUGACGCUCAUGCACGAAAGCGUGGGGAGCAAACAGGAUUAGAUACCCUGGUAGUCCACGCCCUAAACGAUGUCAACUGGUUGUUGGACGGCUUGCUGUUCAGUAACGAAGCUAACGCGUGAAGUUGACCGCCUGGGGA
rnacentral:rRNA from 1 species